CUAAAACGACAAUAGACCCGUGCCGAUCCGGGUGAGAAUUAGUCAUUUGCAACCCAUGCUUGUCGUAAGAGGCGACUAACGGGAUCGGGUGGUCAGGCCUCCUGACCUGGUUGGCACAUAUCAUCGUAUCCCAACUGCGUA